ensembl:lncRNA
GUCUCUUGCAAAUUCGUCUUACUGGAACUGUUACAGAAAAUUACCUGCUAGUGUCAUAAUGCUCUGUUCAGUUAUACUUCCUUUAUUUUUACUCUUCAGUUCUCAGUUAUGUAAACUCCCUUCAACCAUUCUGACAUUACUAAACGGGGCUUCUUAAAAUGUUGUAUCUGCUGUUUCUUUACAAGAAAUGACAAGACCAUGACUGUGCUGGGAGAUUCUGAGCCUCGGCCAGUGAUCUGAUACCUGCUGUGGAAGUUCUACAGAUUUCUAUAUGCACAGACACUGUCUUAAACCCCUUCAGUGGAAAGUUAUACUGUGUUUCGCCUUCGUUCUGGUCUUUCCCUGUGACUCUCAAUGACUAAAGUCUUUCGCCGGUCGUGUUGUUCCCCCUCCUGCAUUCUUCAGAACUGCCCGUAUUAGUAAACGUGGCCAGUUUCACGCUGCUGUCGAGGAGAACAAGAUAAAGCUGAGGCGUUUGCAGCAAGUCCCUUCCUCGCCACUCCUUUGUGGCCAGCAAAGCUGUAGGAGCGGGCUCCGGUCGCUGUGGGGAGAGCAGUGCCAGUGGGAACCGAGCACCCGAGGGGCUCCCCUGCAGCAGCCGCUCUCGUUUCCGUCAGUGCAGCACGACGUCCCGCAGGUUUUGUUCUGCCCGAAAGAAUUCAAUGAUUGAAACUAUAGAUACUUACAGUUUCUUGUUGUGAACACUCAGCAUAAAUAUGGAGGUGUAGGCACCCAAAAGGGACAUCAGUCUGAACUCUGGGAGGUAGUUCUGUGCACAAAUAACGAAAAAAAGGCUUCAAAUUUUAUUUGUUUUUUAAUCUGAGGAUUCUGUUUGCUUCUGUAUGCCAUAAGCAUGGCAUACAGAAGUAACUUAAUUCAGUGGCAUAAAGCAUUAGAAUGUCCUGACACAAAGCAAUUAAUUUAUCUUAAAUUUGAUAACUCUAUACUUGUAACUAAGGCACCGGGUUAAAACUGAAAUGCUUUGCUCUCUGUGCUGACAGUGUUACAGACAGAAAAGCCUGGGAUUACUCCAGGCUUGUUAAUGGAGAGUUCAUGGGUCAGAGGCAGUGUAGAGGAUUUGUUUAUCUUGUAGCUGAAUAGUCAAGAUACCUGAAGUUGAAUAUAAACUAACUUCUUUAACGUCAGCAACUAUUACAACAAUACACGGAAGUUGAGGGUUGGGGGGUUUUUGGUGGGUUUUUUUUUGUGUUUUUUUUUUUUAUUUUUUUAUUUUUUUUUUUUUAUUUUUUAUUUGAAGUCUGGUAGUAGCAAAUACUCCAAGUAAGUUUGGUAAUGUCAGUUCAGGGGCUCUUUUUUUCAUCUGCCAUUUGAGCUUGGUAAGCCAUUAUUCUCAGCCUCCUAAUGAGGUAUACAAACUGAAAUCUUUACAUAUGUAAGCUGUCUGGGGUGAAAUAGUUCUUAAAUCACUUAACUCAUGUUUUAGUUAAAAAUAGUGUAGUUUUAGUUGCCCCUCAUUUUACUUUCUUUAUUGACAAAGGAUUUUGGUAAACCCAUUUGAGGUUUUUCCCCUCUGGAUCCCACCUCCACUAGCCUGACAAAUUGAUACUGCUUUCCCAGAUAUACAGUACAAGGAAAGCAUGUUAUGAAUAGAUGUUACAAGGGAAAGCCCUUUUUGACAUGCUUUCUUCAAUUCCCAAAAUGGGAUAGGGCAGCUUCUGCACAGGCCGCAGUUGUAUAAACUAAAAUACAAAAACUUCCAGAUGUUUAAAGGCUAUUAAUCAUGGGACUCAUUCUGUUCACAUGUGCAUUCAAAGUUGCACAUUAAAAUGUUUAAUUUUCAAGCUUUUUUUUUUGUACAGAUAGGGUUAUUCCAAAUUGCUUUUAGUGCACACAACUACCUCCCAGAGGAAGACUUGUCCCAU